rnacentral:lncRNA from 1 species
CUUGGUUAUAUGUUAUAAGAAUUCUACUACAAAAAGGGAACUACUAUUGUCAAAUAAUAUUAUACUAUAUUAUAUUAAUAUAUUUUAAAUUCCUAACAUCGACUACCACCAUGGCUACCUCUUCGACCACCUUACCCUGUCUACCCACAAUCCCUUUUCCGACGACUCCAGCACCUCCUCAGCCUCUACCAGUCCAAUUCUCACUGCCACCACCUCCUUCAGUUCCCUCCCCUCCGACUUCUCUCUUCCUUCGUCACCACCUCACACCAUCAUACCACCCUUCUCGGCCGGUUCUCCGCCCAUCGUAAAAUCGCUCUUUGCCCCUCUCUUACAGACUCCACCACACUCGCUCUCUUUCCUCUUCCGUUUCUCAUUAAUUUACCACCCAAAAAUUCAUCUCUUUCACAGUUUCACUACGUCUUCUUUCUUUUUUCUCUUGACGAUGCCAAUUCAAGAUCAAUUAUUUCAAUUAUUUCGUACUCAUAAAUACAAAGCCUUUCAGUACUGCAUUACUGAUAAAACUUUCGAGCCCAAGAACUUGAGUAUUAUUAAAAUUGGCCCAUUAUUUCGUUCCCAUUACGAAUCUUUUUGUUCCAAUGCGCCACUCUACUUGGUUAAUUGUGAUUAUAGGGCCCCCAAUGCAAUGAAGGUGAAAACUGAAAAGGUCGAGAAUUUGGGGGCCCUGAAGGAUCAGAGGCUACUGGAUAUGUGUGCGAAGAGAUUUGAGAUUGGGAGGUUGAGUAAAUUACUUGGAUUCGUAGCUAUGCAUUUAACAUCUGAGUAGGAGGAACCGUAUGAUAAAAUGCUUGCCAAGCUAGGUUGUCGAAAGUGGUCCAAGAGUUUGUUUAAUUGUUUAUUACGCCAUCGUGGUGGUGGUGGCAGAAAGAUUUUUUUUUUUUCUUUUUUUUUUUUUUUAGUAUGAUUGCAAUUAGUUUUUUCUAAUUUUUUUUUUAGUUUUAUUUAAAUAUGAG